UUAAUUCUCACAUAAAUGAACUUUAGUAAUCAUGGGAUGUGAAUACAUAUCUUGGUAUCUGGUGUUUGUUCUGAACCAAUUCGUCUUAUUCCUUCUCAAUUAGUAAUCAGUAAGACUUUGUUUUUCGGCUAUACCUACAUGUGAUCCCAACAUAAUUUCUUCUCUCUUUUUUGUUUUUGUUGUUAUUCAUGUGGUGCCUCUGAAUUAAUCUCUAGGACUGUUGAGUAUGAACCUAUAAAGGAUACAUGAGUCCUGCGGUUGCGUUUAUUCCAUACUAGAUUCUCGUCACAUGUGUUGCACGUGUAUCCCAUGAUAAUAGUACAAACAUUUUAAAAUUAUACAAGUAAUAUUGGAAUAUGUUUGAUGAGAUACACUAUAUUUGAAGGGAGAGAUCUACAAGCUCGAAUUGAUUAAUUGUGAGUCUAUUCGACCGACUUAGUUGUUGAACGUAAAAUGAUUAGAUAUCGUUUGAACACCUAAAAUUGUUAUGUAAAUAAGAUUGUCAUAGCGAAUACUUAACAAUGUUCUUGCUUAUUUCUUUUAAUGUGUCAACGACAUAUAAUAGAAAUUUAUGGUAAAAGUUCUUUUGUUUAUUGUUAUUCCUGUCUUUUGCCCUCCACAAAUUCCUUCUUGGCCGCCCAGAGUGUUGAGCUUUGCUUUAGUAUAUCAAUCUUAAUUAACUAUUUAUAUUGAACUAAAAAACAAUAUUAAAAAGUACCCACCUUUUCUUUAAUAUCCACUUAUUUAUCACAUUUCUUUGUUUUGAUUAAAAAAAAUAGCAUUUUUUAUCCCAAAUAAAAGAAAAAAUAUUUUCCCUACCCAAAAGCCAAAGACAUCUGUAACGUGGAACUAAUAAGACGUGAAAGAAAAAGUGUAAUGGAGAGUGUGGAGACUUCACAAAACAAUAUGCAGUAUUCACACUAUGAUAACAUUAAAAAUCUCAUAACUAAAGUAAUAUAAGUUGUCAUGGUUCACUACGAUAGAUCUUAAAUUAAACUCAUAUGUAAAUUCUCAGAUUACCUAUUUGUAUUCUUUUCAGUUUUCAUGGGAAAAAAAAAACGCAUGACUAUACAAUUAAGGUCGUGUAGGAAUUAGAUUUAAUUAUAGAGCAAUGUUUGAUUAAGGGCAUGCUACUUAAUACGAUAUUUAUUGUGAAGUGUUUUUAUGACUUUGUACAUUAGUCUAAUAGGAAUAGUGUUUGAUUGAAGAGUAAAAAGGUCGUUAACUUUUUAUGGGCAUUAUGGUAAUCUAACUUUUCACUUAAAAGCUCCCCACUUUUAAUAAUAUAUAUGAUCUACAUACACGUAGUGUUUUCUAAGGAAAGGACAUAUUGUCAAGUCCAUAUAUCUAUAUCUUUUUGGGUACACCAAAAUGCUCUAAAAGUAAGUGGACAGGAGAGAAUUUGGAGGCAAAGUGAAGAUGGUGUAGUAUGUAUCAUGAAUAACAAUAAUUAUCCGAGUCAUAUUAAAGCGUAUAUGAGCCCGUUUGGAUUGACUUAUAAGUUGCUUAAAAGUUGCUUAUAACCUGUUUUCAGCUUUUUUGAGUGUUUGGCUGGCUAGCUUAAAAUCAUUUUGUGCUUAAAAUAAGCUCAAAAAAAUAAUUGGGCCCAUUUAACUUAACUUAUCUAAAGCAGCUUAUAAGCUGAAAACAGCUUAUAAGCCAAAAAAAAAAUAAGUUAGACUACCCAACUUAUUUUUUUUAGCUUAUAAGCUGCAAACAGCUUAUAGGCAUAAGCCCAUCCAAACAGGCUCUAUAUCUAUUCUUGAUUAAGAACUAGCAUGUGUGUGACUUAAAAAGGAUAGCAGAAAUGUAUGGAGGGGAAUGGACCAAAAUUUUAAAUAAAAAUGUCCAUAUAUAUACUUGUGCAAAUUGAGGGGGGAAAAAAAACAACAAAGAGUAAAAGGAAAGUAAUCUUAUUGAGAUGCUGUGUUAUCGUUAUUGAUUGGGGUAGAUGAAAGAUGGCCUCGACCACUUGGUGUUAUCGUUAUUGACUAAACUUGAUUUGUUUGUGAUACAUAAGAAGCUUCGCAACUACAGUAAUUGCAAAACUUUCUCUCUUUUUGAUUACUCAUUAUCAGGUAUAAUUUCACCAAUUUUCAUUACUUUAUUCAUGGAAUACAAUCCGUUGCUAGUUUCAUGAUGGUUGAGAAUCAUGUCGAUAGGAAGUGCAGCUUUUUGUAGAAUUUUAUAGUAAAGUGAGGUAAUCAGCGUCAUUAUUUUGUCUUAUAAUUACACUACACCGUCAAGCUUUCUUUUUAUUCAAUACACAUGUCGUAGUCUGUUGCAGUAUAUCCCUGCUUUUUUAGUUUUACUUAGACGCUCACAAAAUAGUAUGGAGAGGAUGUUUCCACUGUUUGUGGACAUGCCACAUGAAAUACUCAAACAAGAUGAUCGGAUUUGUAAUUCUAGAUGGAGAAAACAAUUUCCAAGAAGUAUCGAUGAUUAGGUCGAAAGCCUUCCUUUAGUAGUGUGAACCAUACAGAGCAUUUGCGUGAUGAGAACAGAGAAAGGUUUAGAAAAUGUCAGGUGCAAUUCAAAGAUCUGGUUGGUUUCCAUCUUACAGUUAGCUGCAUUGCAUGUAUAGAAAUGUGAACUUUGGCUGUUUCAGAUCAUAGUGGUUGAAAUAGUUGUGGUAUUUUUGUGAACGGUUUAAUUUUUGUACAUAAUAUGUACAGUGGCGUGAAUACCAUACUACUGAGAUACAUUAUGGUGUUAAUCACUUUGACAUAUGCAUUGCACUUUUCAGAAUUCCUUUUCUGGGUAAUUAAUAGACUUGAUGUUGCCUCCUUA